rnacentral:rRNA from 1 species
CGGGGUGAGUAACGCGUGGGUAACCUGCCUUGUACAGGGGGAUAACAGUUGGAAACGGCUGCUAAUACCGCAUAAGCGCACGGCAUCGCAUGAUGCAGUGUGAAAAACUCCGGUGGUAUAAGAUGGACCCGCGUUGGAUUAGCUAGUUGGUGAGGUAACGGCCCACCAAGGCGACGAUCCAUAGCCGACCUGAGAGGGCGACCGGCCACAUUGGGACUGAGACACGGCCCAA